CUCCAAUCCUGCAUUGCCCCCUCCCUCCUGCAGUGUCACUUCUGUCCCACUCUCUCCCCCACCUCCCCACCGCACCUCUCGGAGCUCCGUGCUCACUGGGAAAGCCUUGGGGAUGCUCUGAGGACACUCUGGGGGUUGAAGGAGCCUUGGGAUGUCCUCGGUGGCUCUUUGGCACCGCUCGGCCACCCCACAGACACUGGGGCUGUUGGGACCACCAGUGAACAAGAACUUGAUGGCAUCUGGAACUGCCUUCAGCAGGUGACCCUUGGCCAGGCGGGCAUUGGCUUCCCACAGCCGCUCAGCCUCGGUCACCUUGGCCACCAAGGCCCUGGGGACUUUGGGAAACUUCUCAUUUGUCCCCUUCAGGGUGACCUCGAUGUCCCUGAGCAGGCGCUCCAGCUCCCGGGGGAACGCGGUGGCUUUGUCACACGCAGCCACCAAGCGCUCCAGCAGCCACAGGGCCACCUCCACCCGCUGUCUCACCAUGGUGGCCCUUGUUGCCUCGCUGGCAGCCACCAUGGCCUCUCUGCUCACCUGGGCUCCAUGUCCGGCCGCCACCUCAGCCCCCUCCUCCCUGCCCAGGGCCUGACCCAGCUCCACCAUGUUUUCCUGAGUUGUCCCAUCAUGGGCAGCCUUUUCCUCUAGCUUCCUCACUCGGGUGGUGGCCUUGUCCUCCUCAGAGGCUGCCUCAGUCACCACCUCCCUCCAGGCAUUGCGGAGCUUGGUGGCCUUCCUGGCCAGCUCGGCCCAGCUGUCCGCAAGCACUGACAGGCGCAACACGCUGGCUGCCGUUGUCACAUUGAACCAGGUGGUCCAUGGCGUGCUCUCGUAGGCGGCCAGGGCCCGGCUCAGGGAGAUGACAGGGCGAGCAAUACUGUCGCGGUCCCUACAGUGGUACCAGACACGCUUAGUCUCCCACAUGGUUCCAUGGAGAUAAUAGGUGAAUUCCUUCAGGUCCCUGUGCAGGCACCCUGGGGGCAACAGCAGCAUCAUCUCCUCAUCCCAUCUGGGCAGGGUGUCCAGCAGCUCGCCCAGGAUGGCCACCACGGUGACCUGUGGCUGCAGCAGGGCUGGGGACAGCUGGGGAGGGGACAGAGGAGGUGUCAGGGACCUGGUGGCACUUAAGGCCUCCUGGGGUGGCACCCUGCCCCUGAGGGGUCCCUUUUGUCCCCUCCAUCUU
rnacentral:lncRNA from 1 species